rnacentral:rRNA from 1 species
AUUGAACGCUGGCGGCAUGCCUUACACAUGCAAGUCGAACGGCAGCGGGGACUUCGGUCCGCCGGCGAGUGGCGAACGGGUGAGUAAUGUAUCGGAACGUACCAUUGAGUGGGGGAUAACUAUCCGAAAGGAUAGCUAAUACCGCAUAUUCUCUCCGGAGGAAAGCAGGGGACCGCAAGGCCUUGCGCUCAUGAGCGGCCGAUAUCAGAUUAGCUAGUUGGGGAGGUAAAGGCUCACCAAGGCGACGAUCUGUAGCGGGUCUGAGAGGAUGAUCCGCCACACUGGAACUGAGACACGGUCCAGACUCCUACGGGAGGCAGCAGUGGGGAAUUUUGGACAAUGGGGGCAACCCUGAUCCAGCCAUGCCGCGUGAGUGAAGAAGGCCUUCGGGUUGUAAAGCUCUUUCGGCCGGGAAAAAUCGCAUGGGUUAAUACCCUGUGUGGAUGAUGGUACCGGAAUAAGAAGCACCGGCUAACUACGUGCCAGCCGCCGCUGUAACAC